AGAUUCUGGUUCAGUUGAUGAAAUCUACAAACAUCAAAGUAUGGACAAUAUAACAAAUUUUCAUGAGACUCAAAGCCUUUAUGACAUCAGACUGAAUCCAGCAGAAGAUCUCACAGCAGCGAGAGGUAUUAUGGGUUCAAAUAACUCUCUUCCGAACUUUGCCAUGAAGAAAGACUCCAGUGACCCCCAUCAGAACACCGUUACCCAGAAGUAAGGUGUAACUGAGGUGGAGGACUCGAGUUACAUGCCUUGACUUGCAAAUUUAAGGACAUGAUCGACUAAAUGAAGAAAAUGACUUGACUUGAGAACCAGCAACUCCAGACUUGACUUGAACUGAAUGACUCUUGAAUGUUUUUUUAUUAUUAUUAUUUUCAUUAACUUAUUAUAAACAGUAAUGAAAUGUGUUUUAAAAACAUAUGCAAAAUAUGUAAUCCCGCCUGCAUCACUGAUCUGCAUCUGCGCGGUUAACGCUGCGCUCACAAUGCGCCAAAAUGACAGAUGAUUGUCCUUUUCCCAAAAUAAUCUCCUUUGGAUAUAAAGAUUUCGAAUUGGAUUGUGUGAAUAAAAAAAGGAUGAAAAUAUGCAACGCAAAAUGAUCCGAUACAACCACCACAACCUCCAAUUUCAUCAGACAUUUCAAAAACCACAAGGAAAGGAAAGUGAAUAAUUUCAUUAUUAUUUCAUUAUCCAGAAAGAUUCAUAUGUAAAAUUACUGUUCAAAUGUUUGAGGGUUGUCAGUAAUUAAAAUUAUUCAGGAUUAAUCUCGUGUUUUGUAGCGCGACAAGUUUGAAAUGAUCCGACAUUGCCUAUAAAUGUGUGUGCGCCUUUUCUAAACCUUCUCAACAAUAUACCAUAAACAUGUGUCGCAAUAUAAAAACAUUUAUUUAAAACGUGACGAGUAUAAAAUAUACAGAAUGACUCGUGAUGAAAUCCAAGUGCUCUCAUAGUGAUUGUGACUGAAGAAUUUAACUAAAGUGCUUGAAUGCAAAACCUUUAUGACUGUUUUAUAUAAAUGAAUCUCUGAAGGGAACUGACUGUCUUCAGAAACAUUUCGAUGACAUUUUCUUUUCAUCUUACCUCCAUAUAAUGUUUAAUAAAGUAUUGUUUAUAAGCGCAGGGCUGCUUUGUGUACAGGCGUUACCAGGGUAACAGCUGUAUUUCUGCUGCAUAAGUGCCCCCUACUGUCAGAGAGCGAAUUUGCAUUUUCAUUCAGCACGUCUACCACAUUGUUACACAGCAUAAACGUAGUGUUAUACAUUUUAACCGGUUAUUUUUCGAAAAAUGUAAACAAUUCGGAUAAUGAAGUAUCUAGAAAUAUUCACAGUAUUUUUAAGUGCCCACGAUGAAAAUAUUGAGCAUGUUCAAUAACGCAAUUUACUAUAUAUAUAUUCGUCAUGCACCGAUCGCCCGGCCAGGGACCGGAAUUUGCCGAUUUUCCGCAUGCUCGGCCCAGACUGGUAACCGUCCGGUCAGCCUCACGUCUUACUAAUUCCAAGCCGGUCCGUUUUGUUGCCAGCGGCGCAGGCAAUAACGUCACAGCCGCAUGUAAACAUGUCAUUGGCGUGGGAGAUCUUCACUAUGUGAGUGAAGAAUACAUAAAGUUCGAAAUGUGUAAUAAUUAAACCGCGGGUGAACCACCACAAUAACUUUCGGAACAACAAACCUAAUUAGACAUUUAUAACACCAUCACCCAGCUGAAAAUGCCCAUUUUAAAAAAGAAGCUAAAAAGGGAAUGCGGCUAAAGCUAUCCAGAGCUCAGAGCCAGUCACAAGUCAGCAGCCUCUCCUAUCAUUCCUUGGUAUGAGCAGUGAAAAGACCAAAGCAAUUACGAGGAAAAUUAUGGAAUUCAUGGCCCUGGAUGACCAGCUGUUCUCCAUAGUUGAGGACAGAGGGAUCAGAAAUCUGAUAAAUUUCCUCGAUACAGAGUAUGAGGUACUUUCCGAUGUCGUGUUGCCCGAGUUGUUUAAUCUCGUGUCACGUCACACACGCAGCCUGUUAUCUGCCAACAUUUGGGUACACAAAUCCGGGAGAGGGGAAGGGGGGUGCUGGAUGGCAGAGGCAGGAUAAAUACAUACAAAUUGUGCCGUUGUGGUUUAACGUAAUUUUUCCCACCGUGUCCGAUAUUAAAAUCAGUGCGACACACAUUGUAAAAGGCGUGGGCAUUGGCGAUAUGGCUUCGGGAUAUGAAAUUAAAUUCUUCCAUCCAGCUGUUGUUAAAUGUACAUGUAUAUUUUGUUUUUUUCGCCGGAGCACCAGCUGAGUCUUCCUCUCCCAUCUACCAGUGAUGCUUGAUUUAACAUCCUGCGUCUACUGCCUGCGCAGAUAUCAACAGCGCAAAUGUGUUGUAGGUUGCCAGAUUGUGGUCAUAAAUUAUUUGUAAUGUGUAUGAUGUGUCGAUUGUGUGAGUAGGAUGCCUUUCAUUCAAGAUCUGGCAACUGGACCACCUUGGAAUAAUAUAUUGAUGUGAUUAUUCAUAUAACGUGGUUUGGGCCGUACAAAAGUUUUUUUUGGGAGAAAAAACAAAACGGGAGACUCCCGGGAAAAACGGGAGUGUUGACAGGUAUGCAAGCCAUUCCCGAAGCAGUGCUCAGUUUUACAACUGAUAUUUGUACAUCUAACGUAAGUGGUAUCGGCAGGUCACACUUGCAAAAAAAUCGGCCAAGAAAAUUGCAAUCGGUGCAUCUCUAAUACAUAUAUAUUAGUAUAACACUUUACUGUUAUACAAUUCAUAUAAAUAAAUAAAAGUUCAUCUUUUCAGAGGAAAAAUAAAUAUUAUUUCAAAAAUGAAUCUUUAUUUUAGUGCUGUUGCUUGACUUGCUUGAUUUGUCUGAACUGCACUCGAGACUUGAACAUUUGCUCCCACUGUUCACACCGAUUUCAUUUUGUCCAAAGUUACUCAAAAAAUUGAUAUUUGCAAUAUUAGUGUUGAUUUGAAACACAUCAAAUAAAUCAAUGCUGU